UUAUUAAAAACAUGGCUUAUUGAUUAAGAUUUUAAGUUUGACCUGCCCAAUGAUGGAUUAAAUGGCCGCGGUAUAUUGACCGUGCAAAGGUAGCAUAGUCAUUAGUUUUUUAAUUGGAAGCUUGUAUGAAAGGUUUGAUGAGAAAAAGGCUGUCUCUGAAGAAGUUUAUUAGAAUUUUAUUUUUAAGUGAAAAAGCUUAGAUAUUUAUGGAAGACGAGAAGACCCUGUAGAGUUUAAUAAAUAAUAAAUUAGUUUGAGGUUAAGGAUGUAUAUAAUUUUUUAGAAUUGUUUUUAUUUAUUUUGUUGGGGUGAUAGGAAAAUUUAUUAAACUUUUCUUUAUUUUUAUAUUGAUUUAUAGGUGUAUGAUCCUUGUUGAAAAGAUUAGAAGAAUAAAUUACCUCAGGGAUAACAGCGUUAUUUUUUUUAGAGUUCUUAUCGAAAAAAUAGAUUGCGACCUCGAUGUUGGAUUAAAAUUUACUAUUGGUGUAGUAGCUGAUAAGUUGGGUCUGUUCGACCUUUAAAAUUUUACAUGAUCUGAGUUUAAACCGGUGUGAGC
rnacentral:rRNA from 1 species